UUCAUUCACACUUGAUGAGGUUCUCAAAAGAAUCCCAGAGGUUUCAUCGAGAAGUGUGAACAUUCUAACAAAGACCCCUGCCAAAAACAAACUAUCUCCCGAGGAGUUGAGAAUGAACUUAAAGGAGUUGUCAGAUUACAUUUUCUCCUCAGCUGUUGGACUCCUGAAAGUAAUGACAUAUCCAAUGAAAAGGUGAAGAUAACGAAUAGUGAUCAAUCUCAUAACUCCCAGAAGCAACACAAAAUUGAAUGUUUGGGCAAACACGGACCCUGGAUAUACCAGACGUUGGAUCAAAUGCCUAGGAGGAGUAAGUGUUCCAUGUCGACCUGUGACGCCAGCCGUAAGCCCUUUAUCUUGAUCAGGUAAACGGAGCUAUCCGAUGUCAAAAUCAGUGUGUCAAGAGCGACCCAAGAAUAGUGUACUUUUUGGGGACUUUGAGUGAUUCACCACCCUUUGAACAAAUGUAUUUUGAGAUCUUCAAAGGAAUCCUAGAUUUAUCAAGAAGCCAUGUUUUAAUUGCUGCCCAUCAAAUAGUACUGUGUCUUGCAUGUGUAAAUUAGAUUCAUUUAGAGGAAAUAGCUGGUGUGCAGUGCACAUUCCUAAAUGAAUUCAUCAGUUUACAUUAAGGAUCUACCUUCAAAUCCUGUAAUCUGGGAUGCUCUAAAGUGCAUGUCACAGACUAAAGUUAUAAAAAAUAACUUCCAAUAAUUUUUAAGAAAUUGUUAUAACUUUGAAAUGUAUGUAUAUACAUGUACAUGUAUACUGAUAUUGAAUUAAAUUUUAUAAAAUUUCAGCAUCUGAUUUUAUGUAUAUAUAGACAUAUUGUAAAAAUGUUCCACUCUAAAGGUUUAAUUUCUUUAAUAUUUAAGACUUAAAAAAACACUUUUGCAGAUACAGUGGUGUAACAUUGUCUUACUUUCUGA